rnacentral:rRNA from 1 species
GACGAACGCUGGCGGCGUGCUUAACACAUGCAAGUCGAACGGUGAAGGGGAGCUUGCUCCCCGGAUCAGUGGCGAACGGGUGAGUAACACGUGGGCAACCUGCCCCAGACUUCGGGAUAACGCUUCGAAAGAGGUGCUAAUACCGGAUACGAACUCCGUGGGCAUCCUUGGGGUUGGAAAGUUUUUCGGUCUGGGGUGGGCCCGCGGCCUAUCAGCUUGUUGGUGAGGUAACGGCUCACCAAGGCGACGACGGGUAGCCGGCCUGAGAGGGCGACCGGCCACACUGGGACUGAGACACGGCCCAGACUCCUACGGGAGGCAGCAGUGGGGAAUAUUGCGCAAUGGGCGAAAGCCUGACGCAGCAACGCCGCGUGAGGGAUGACGGCCUUCGGGUUGUAAACCUCUUUCAGCAGGGAAGAAGCGAAAGUGACGGUACCUGCAGAAGAAGCACCGGCUAACUACGUGCCAGCCGCCGCAGUAAGAC